rnacentral:lncRNA from 1 species
AGCAUAGCAAAACUGAUUUUAAAUGGUUGAUUCCUGUCCUUUGUUUUUCCUAAGGGUUUCUGGUAGCUGCCACUGAUUUCCUACAGGAGGUCACUGCAGAAGGGAAGAUAAGAGGUGGUACACAUGGGGAAAGAUGUGCACAAAUUAAUGCCAAUUGAGGAUCUUCAGUCCUGGAUCUAUGCUCAAUGGAUCAGACUCAUAGCCAGCAUAUUGAUCAGGUGAGCUGAUAUCCUUCUUAGAUCUGCUUUGUUUUAUCCAAGUAGAUGUACUUAGCUGCUGU